GAUUCCUUGAGAAUCCUAGACACUUCUCGAAGCUUUUUCCAGAUGUGGUAACUUCUUGCAGUGUCAGAGUUUCCUUGCUGUUCCCGUACUUGAGCGUAUGUACUAAGGAAUCAAACUGCUUGGGCAAGCUCGAUAGAACCUGUAUUGCUUGAUCUUCAUCACUGAUUGUAAUGUUCAAGCUCUCCAGAUCAUCUACCAACCUCAAGAAAACAUCCAGAUUGUGUAAGAGACAAAGACACAAGACUUUGUUACCCAGUUCCCG